ACGGGGUUUAUUGACGGAACUCUUCGGAGGGAAGAUAUAUAAACCUAGUGGCGGACGGGUGAGUAACGCGUGGGCAACCUGCCCUGUACCGGGGGACAACAGCCAGAAAUGGCUGCUAAUACCGCAUAAGCCUGCUGUGCCGCAUGGCACAGCAGGGAAAACCACGGUGGUACAGGAUGGGCCCGCGUCUGAUUAGUUAGUUGGCAGGGUAACGGCCUACCAAGACAACGAUCAGUAGCCGGCUUGAGAGAGUGGACGGCCACAUUGGGACUGAGACACGGCCCAGACUCCUGCGGGAGGCAGCAGUGGGGAAUAUUGCACAAUGGGGGGAACCCUGAUGCAGCAAUGCCGCGUGGGUGAAGAAGCACUCCGGUGCGUAAAGCCCUGUCAGCAGGGAAGAAAAUGACAGUACCUGGACAAGAAGCCCCGGCUAACUACGUGCCAGCAGCCGCGGUAAUACGUAGGGGGCAAGCGUUAUCCGGAUUUACUGGGUGUAAAGGGAGCGCAGGCGGCGUGGCAAGUCAGAUGUGAAAACCCGGGGCCCAACCCCGGGAGUGCAUUUGAAACUGCCAUGCUGGAGUGCCGGAGAGGUAAGCGGAAUUCCUAGUGUAGCGGUGAAAUGCGUAAAUAUUAGGAGGAACACCAGUGGCGGAGGCGGCUUACUGGACGGUAACUGACGCUGAGGCUCGAAAGCGUGGGGAGCAAACAGGAUUAGAUACCCUGGUAGUCCACGCCGUAAA
rnacentral:rRNA from 1 species